rnacentral:ncRNA from 1 species
CUGCCACAACGGCUUCCUGACGUGGCAGUAUUUUUAAAUUGGAGCA